CUACGGGAGGCAGCAGUGGGGAAUUUUCCGCAAUGGGCGAAAGCCUGACGGAGCAACGCCGCGUGAGGGAGGAAGGUCUUUGGAUUGUAAACCUCUUUUCUCAAGGAAGAAGUUCUGACGGUACUUGAGGAAUCAGCCUCGGCUAACUCCGUGCCAGCAGCCGCGGUA
rnacentral:rRNA from 1 species